GACAGAGGUGCCGAGCGUUAGGCGGAAUCACUGGGCUUAAAGCGUGUGUAGGCGGAUGCCUAAGUACCUUGUGAAAUCCCACGGCUCAACCGUGGAACUGCUUGGUAUACUGGGUGUCUUGAGCUAUCUAGGGGCAACUGGAACAAACGGUGGAGCGGUGAAAUGCGUAGAUAUCGUUUGGAACGCCAAUGGUGAAAACAACUUGCUGGGGGUGUGCUGACGCUGAGACACGAAAGCCAGGGGAGCAAACGGG
rnacentral:rRNA from 1 species